rnacentral:snRNA from 1 species
AUCACUUCUUAGCCUUUUGGCUAAGAUCAAGUAUAGUAUCUGUGCUUACAAAACAGGGGUAGCUGGGUGUGGUGGUUUGUGCCAGCUACU